AGUUUAUAGAUGCGUUACAUCGAUUACAUUCAAAUUAUUAAAUAUGAGUUUAUGUAUUGGCAGACGAAGAAAACACCCCUCGCAAAAAGGGCAAGCUCUCCGUCUCACAGGUGCACAGGUGUGUGUGGAUGAAAGAGAAGGUGUGCACAUGCCUUCGAAAAUAAAUUAAAAGGCCAGCGACAACCCAACUCUACAUUCAUUCAAUAAUGAUCCUUCCGCAGGUUCACCUACGGAAA
rnacentral:misc_RNA from 1 species